AGGCGGGGCACGGCGCUGGGCGGCCCGGAACCCGCAGGUUUCCCGCCCACGCCGAGGCCAGGCCUUAAAAUCCCCCCGCCCCCGCCCCCGGCCGAGCCUCAUGCCCCUCCCCCGGGGUGUCCGCCCCCGCCUCCACCCGCGAGCGCCCGGGCAGGGAGGGGACCAGGGGCCCCGCGAGGGCGGCGGCGGCGGCGGCGGCGCGCAGGCAGGGCCUGGUCGGUGUCAUGGCCGCGUCCCGGCUGCCUCCGGCGGCGCUGACGCUGAAGCAGUUCUUGAGAAGGCAACAGGUUCUUCAGUUAUACAGAAGAAUUCUGCAGGCUAUUCGUCAGGUACCUACCGAAACUGAUCGGCACUAUCUAAAGGAGUGGGCAAGGGAAGAAUUCAAAAGAAAUAAAGAUGCAACAGAUGAGGAUGCAAUUAGGAUGAUGAUUACUCAGGGCAACAUGCAGCUUCAGGAGCUUGAGAGAACACUUCAGCUGGCAAACUCCUAACCUUAAUUCUGAGAGUCAAUGGACUUUCAUCCACUGUGAGAAGUACAGUACUUUCUCCAGGAUGCAGCACCUCGUCUUAUGCAAAGAUACUGGAUUUUAAACUUAUAAAACUGUAAAUGACUUCUGAUCAGUCGCCUAUGAAAAGUGAAUUUGUAGCCUUGUUCCAGACCACAUCACAAAACCUACCCAAAAAUAUUGUUGGUAUUCUCAGUGAAAAACUAGCUAUGGCCUGAAUGGGCAUGGAAACAGAGCUACCCUCUCUGCCAUGAGAUGUUUCCUCCAGGACACAGCAGAAGCAGUAAAAUGGGAUCUGUCCCCAUGACACAAUUCUUCUUUCAAAUUAUCUGGCCAGUUAGUGUAAAUUGGACAAUCCACUUUGAAAAUGGCUUGAGUUCAUUUUGAAGUAAGUUAGUGCAGAAGAAGGUUUGUGUGGACACAUCUGCAUUCUAGAUUAAUUUUUCAGUCCCUCCGAUGGUAUCCCUGACUGCAUUGCUUCACUCCGUGCUGGCUGACAGCAGUUUGAAAAUGGGCUGACUUGCAAAAGACAUGAACCAUGGGAGACGGGAAAAGGAAUCCUGGAAAUCUGCUGCUGUGAACCCCAAGUCACAGAAUUCUAGUGGCUUCAGGUAGGUAUCCUAUAAUGCACCAUCAGAAUAAUCCCAGAAUACAUAGAGCCCAGCAGUGGGACAAAGCACCAUGGGAUAUCUGCCUGAUAUGUUGAGAGCUUAUUUCAAAAGAAGUCAGUGCUGCAUAUGCAUACUGAUGAAGAGGGAAGUGUGUAAGUAAAAGCCAUAUGGAUGCAAUUAUUUCGGAAUAGUUAUUCCACAGCUGUUAAUGUGCACAAACUUAAUCCAAAAGCACACACCCACACACACAUGUAGACAAAUCCUUAGAAUAUUUGUUUUGCUGGUCUUUGUCGUUGAGCCUGCAGUAGGUUUGCUUGGAUCUGAAAAUGUGAUUACCUCAAGUAAAAGGGUUUUAGGCAUUAUCAGGCUCACUGCUUCUUUUUCAUUCUCCUCCCAAUUAUUCUCCUUUUCAUGUCUCACCUACUGCUCAAACACCAGUCAUCGCUUGCACAUUUUGAAUUGGAAGAACUCUUAGAGGAGUCUUAAAUCUUUGAUUCAACAUUACUGUGUACUGCAGUUCUGAAUACAAGUCUCUGAACUGUAGCAGGCAUUACAGGUUUUUUUUUUCUCUGAACAAAGUUAAAUGAAGAGAUUUUUUCCCUUGGGUUAUUCUCUGAAGAACAUGUACAGUUCUUUCAUUAUUAUCUGUUAGAAGUGUAAAUUUGAGCAGCAAGGCAGAGAAAUGCAGCAAGGCAGCAGUUUGGUAGAAAUUCACAAAAAUUACAGAGGAAGCACAGGGAGCUUAGAGCGAGUGGACCUGGCUCCUGCUCCUAUUGAAUGGCAAAACUCCCAUUGACUUCAGUGACAGGGACUGGACUCAAGUUGUACUGAUUUGGAAAAAGACACCUCUGAUUUCCCAGCCUCCUAAAUGUGACCGGAAAGGUACAGACUGUUCACAGAUGUAAAAACGCUAGUACUGAUCUCACAGAAUAAUGUUUAUCAGACUCAGGAUUUUUUGUUAAGCCAACUUGUCUGAAGACAGCAACCUGACUCUCAAAUUUGGUUGCCAGAGAAGAAAAUAUGUCUGUCCUAACAUUUUGGAUCAAGAAGGGAUAUCAGAAAUCACUUGUGUUGUAUGUAUGUUAUUGUCUCUCCCCUCAAAUGCAAGCUGUUGAUCUGAACCUGACCUGCACUUAAAAUCUUGAGUGGACUGACUGGUACAUCCCACUUAAGGCUGGAAAUGAAAGCUAGCCUCUAAUCAUUGUCUCUUUAUAAAUAUUAGUGGAUGGCAGUUGUGUUCAAUCCUGUACCAUAGGGAGAACGCAUAUAUAAUUAGCCACAUGCUCUUAUCCUGAAAUGCAACAUGAACUGAAAUUAACCAUGAGAAGGAAUUAAAUAAAGUAUCAGUCUGGGUAGGCAAAUAAUCCAUUUCUUCUGCUGUUUGGUAGCUUGCAUAAAUUAACUGAGUCUAGAGGCCAAAUCCAUUCUCCUCUACAGGGUAAUGUGUCAUUCAGUCAAGACACCCUGGAUUCUCAGGUGUAGACUAGCAGCUUGUCGACUGGCAAUAAGUAAUUAUCAUUUGUCAGGUUGUCCUGGCUGUCAAGCAAUCUGAUUUUUCCUAGUAGAAAAAUGUUUAUAACAGGACCUUGUCAGAGCCUAAACCCUGACUGCUGCUAUGCUUGGUAUUUUGUCAUGCUGUCUGAAUUACUGUGUUGAAUCUUCAGGAGCAUAAGAAGUUGAGAAACAUCCAAAGAAGCCAGCUUUGAUUAAGUGAAAAUAAGAUUGAAUUGUUAAGUAAAGUUAGGAAAAUUCUUUAUUACCAUUGGAAGAAGAAGCAGGGCAUAUGCAUGUUUGAACACAGACAUGCUACGCUUUGGGUUCUAACAGUGUGCCUUUGCCAAUCUACUGUAUUCAUACACUUUUUAAGAGAGGUCUGUCUCAGAAUGUCUUACAGUUUAUGCAUCAUUCAUAGCUUUUAUGCAGUAUUCAUCUUUUUAGUUAAAACUUUCUAAUGCACAUGGCACCCAAGUACACAGAGUAGCAAUUCUUAUAUUGUUAACACACACACACUCACUCACACUUUCAUGGUUCUGGAUGUUGGAAAAAGUUCUAUUGCCUGAUAUUUGUAACUAUGUGAGUUAUCUAAAGAAUGUCUAAUAUACAUAAAUAUGAGCAUCUGGAAAUCAAACUCAAAGCCUAAAAGAAGGGAUGCUAUAAAUCAAGAGAAACAGCAUUAUAAAAUUAUUUUGUUUACAGAUAACAAAGUAACCAUAAACAAUCUGAUUGCAUAUGGGGCCUGUUCCUGUCCUAUAUCAAUAUAGUAUGUAGUUUUACUCAUACUCAUUUGUAUACCCAUGUGUCCUUUCUUCUCUGUUAGUAUUCAUUGUAUAUUUUAGUUUUACAGAUUGUAGUUCUUUUGAACUGUUGGCUCGUUUUAUAGACUGUUUACUGAAACUGAGACAUGAAAUUGUAUGUAUGGAACUGAAACUGGGACAUGAAAUUGUAUGGAACAUUUUUUAAAAGGAAAAUUACAAGGUAAAAUAAGUAUAGUAGCUCUAAAUUCCUGUUGCCUGUAACAACACAUAGUGAGGUCCAUGAAAUCUGACUGCUCAACUGGCUGAACAUUUCAAAUCUUAAUUUAGCGUCUAUUGCCCCUUGCUGGUUUUCAGAUUAUUCCAUUAACCUUUUGACUAGUGAGUGGGGAAAAAAAUCUCCCAAGGUUAUUUCAUUUUGAUCUUAGCAAAAUUGUUUAUGCCAUGGUACAUUGCACCAAUUUAUAAUAUAAUUUUACAGUCCUCACUUGGUACUCUAUGUUUGUGUUAUAAAAUAUCUUGUUUGCAAUUCUGGUGGGUCAUAUAUUCAGUUUUCCUGAAUUGCUCAUAAGAUAUUAUAAUAGAAAGAGAGAGACACUUGGAGUUCCUCACAAAUUUUUAACAAGACUUAAAUCCUGGUACAUUAAUGGACACAUUGUAACAAAAGAUAAACUGUUUUCCUUC